GUGCUUGCACCUUUCAAGCGAGUGGCGAACGGGUGAGUAACACGUGGAUAACCUGCCUCAAGGCUGGGGAUAACAUUUGGAAACAGAUGCUAAUACCGAAUAAAACUUAUUAUCGCAUGAUACAAAGUUGAAAGGCGCUACGGCGUCACCUAAAGAUGGGUCCGCGGUGCAUUAGUUAGUUGGUGGGGUAAAGGCCUACCAAGACAAUGAUGCAUAGCCGAGUUGAGAGACUGAUCGGCCACAUUGGGACUGAAACACGGCCCAAACUCCUACGGGAGGCUGCAGUAGGGAAUCUUCCACAAUGGGCGAAAGCCUGAUGGAGCAACGCCGCGUGUGUGAUGAAGGCUUUAGGGUCGUAAAGCACUGUUGUAUGGGAAAAAAUGCUAGAAUAGGGAAUGAUUCUAGUUCGACGGUACCAUACCAGAAAGGGACGGCUAAAUACGUGCCAGCAGCCGCGGUAAUACGUAUGUCCCGAGCGUUAUCCGGAUUUAUUGGGCGUAAAGCGAGCGCAGACGGUUGAUUAAGUCUGAUGUGAAAGCCCGGAGCUCAACUCCGGAAUGGCAUUGGAAACUGGUUAACUUGAGUGUUGUAGAGGUAAGUGGAACUCCUGUGGAAAAGGG
rnacentral:rRNA from 1 species